rnacentral:rRNA from 1 species
CCUACGGGAGGCAGCAGUGAGGAAUAUUGGUCAAUGGGCGAGAGCCUGAACCAGCCAAGUCGCGUGAAGGAUGAAGGAUCUAUGGUGUGUAAACUUCUUUUAUAGGGGAAUAAAGUGAGGAACGUGUUCCUUUUUGUAUGUACCAUAUGAAUAAGCAUCGGCUAACUCCGUGCCAGCAGCCGCGGUAAUACGGAGGAGGCGAGCGUUAUCCGGAUUUAUUGGGGUUAAAGGGUGCGUAGGUGGUUAAUUAAGUCAGCGGUGAAAGUUUGUGGCUCAACCAUAAAAUGGCCGUUGAAACUGGUUGACUUGAGUAUAUUUGCGGUAGGCGGACUGCGUGUUGUCGCGGUGAAAUGCAUCGAUCUCACGC